ACAUACGACCAUAGCUAUUAGACAACUCGGGAUCCCGUCCGCUCUCCGUUCGAUAAACUGAUAAGUGCUGAAUUAGUAGUUGGGUCGGUGACGACCAGCGAAUCCUCGGUGUUGUAUGUU
rfam:Fusarium oxysporum f. sp. cubense race 4 unplaced genomic scaffold scaffold3, whole genome shotgun sequence.